rnacentral:sRNA from 1 species
AAAACUCUAUGGCCAUAUUACAAGGUCUUCGGGGCUUACACAGACAUUCUUUCAGGGAACUGUACCAGGAAAAAGAAGAAGAGACAGAGAAAGCGAUGGGAAGCCUGCUAUUGAUAGAGGUUCUAUCCACGGCAAAAGACAGAAAGGAAUGGAGAAAGACGGUUGAAAAAUCAUGGUCUUCAAAUGUAAGUAGUCUAACAAUGCGAUAUAUACAUUUGUUAAUAAACCUUGAGUCAUAGAAGAGAUAGAGCUAGGCUAGUAGAGCCAUAAAGUUCUGCAAUGUUGAGAGCGAGGUUAUUAGACAGAGCCAUAAAGUUCUGCAAUGUUGAGAGCGAGGUUAUUAGACAGAGCCAUAAAGUACUGCAAUGUUGAGAGCGAGGUUAUUAGACAGAGCCAUAAAGUUCUGCUAUGUUGGGAGCGAGGUUUUUAGACAUAGAGCCAUAGAGUUCUGCUAUGUCUGAGAUUUGAUCCAUGAUUUGCCAUUUUUUAUAUAAAAAAUAUUUCUUUGAGUCCUUUGUGAGGCCCACACUAAUCGGGGCUCCUAGGCGUCUGCCUAGUUUACCUAUGCCUAAGGCCGGCCCUGCUGUGAGAGUAAGUCAAUGAUGUAUAUUACUUUCAUCUAGUAUUACAAUAUGUAAAUAAAUAAAGCACUCGACUCUACCCCGAAGAUGAUUCAUAUGAGUCUAUUGUCUCACAAGGCUCCAGGUUAGGAGUUCAAAAGUCUACACAGUGUCUAGACCACGGGGUCUCAAUAUUCACUUGUGGUCACCCAAUGUCAGUAAUUAUUUCAUAUGCUACAUUCUCGAGUCAGAACGUGGUUAUAUAUCCCUAGAAUCCAAAGAUAAUACUUUAAUAGUUUGUAUUAAAAUGCAAUAAAUUGUGUAGUAACGUAAGUUUCAGUUCUGCUUUGAAAACUCCAAAUGUGUUUCUUAGAUUUAGACUCUUAAUAUUUCGUUCCAUCGAUGGCUUAAUAAAAUAAAAACCAUUGCAACAGUUGAUCAAUAUCAGCAUGAUGAAAUACUACCAGCAUGCCUUCAUUGGAUGUCUGAGUUACACAACUUUGCCUACAUUCCGAUCUGGAUUAAAUAAGUGUAAUAGGCAUUUGUUUUGCAAGGAAAGCUCAGUGGAGAUAUUUCUGAAAUAUGUUGAUUUAUAAACCUUUAAGUAGUAGAUGAAUAUUGUUAAUAACACAUGGAACAGUUACAAUACAUUUUUAGGGGACAUUAUUGGUUUCACAUUAUUGUACUGACAACAAGCCAGUUCAAAAUAUUUUAUACAAAAUAAAUUAUAAUUUACUUUAAAAAAAAUAGAAAUAAAUGUUUAAAAAAUUACAAAUGAUUUAUGUCGCUGAAAUGAUGUCCAGAUACCUAGACCACCUGCUUAGAUUUUUUUGUCGCGGUAGGAAUGUGAUAUUGAUUCUAACAUGAGCAUUUAGUGAGUGAUGUAAUGGGUAGGGUUUAUUGAUUCUAACAUGAGCAUUUAGUGAGUGAGGUAAUGGGUAGGGUUUAUUGAUUCUAACAUGAGCAUUUAGUGAGUGAGGUAAUGGGUAGGGUUUAUUGAUUCUAACAUGAGCAUUUAGUGAGUGAGGUAAUGGGUAGGGUUUAUUGAUUCUAACAUGAGCAUUUAGUGAGUGAGGUAAUGGGUAGGGUUUAUUGAUUCUAACAUGAGCGUUUAGUGAGUGAUGUAAUGGGUAGGGUUUAUUGAUUCUAACAUGAGCGUUUAGUCAGUGAUGUAAUGGGUAGGGUUUAUUGAUUCUAAAUAAGCAUUUAAAAUGUGAGUGUGUGUUUGUUUAGUAAUGAAGAGUUUUAACACCUUUAGUGUGUGUGUGUGUGUGUGUUUAUCGUUUAGUAAUGACAAGAUCAAACAGUUUUAAUAAUUGCUUAAAAAAAA